GGGUCGCGGUCGGAGCGCCUAAGCGCUUAGAAGGGUCCAAGAGCACCAACGCACAACGAGCCGUAGCCACAACAUUAUGAGAGUUGAGUUUCAACCACCACUUGCCGUGACGUCCGUCGACGUGGACUCAUAUUUAGGCCAACCGCAAGCUCAAGGCACACGGGAGGCCAAUAUCCGCCCCACAACACCACCCGCGUCCAAAGACUUUGGGAGCGGAGUGCGGGGGCGACGAGAUGCGUGACGCCCAGGCAGACGUGCCCUCAACCUAAUGGCUUCGGGCGCAACUUGCGUUCAAAGACUCGAUGGUUCACGGGAUUCUGCAAUUCACACCAAGUAUCGCAUUUCGCUACGUUCUUCAUCGAUGCGAGAGCCGAGAUAUCCGUUGCCGAGAGUCGUUUUUAUUUCAAAAGAAGCACUAGGCCUCCCGCGCACACCGCAGACGGGGCACGAAAGGCAUGCAACCAAUUUAGUAUUCCUUGGCGCUUUCCGCGCCGGGGUUCGUUAAUCACCAAGCGGGCACGCAAGCGCGCACGCAAGGGAUGGGAGGGAGGCGCACGGAAAAGGGCCGAAGCACCCCAACCGCACAGCUCCCCCAGUGUUUAAACAAGUUCGCGGGUCGUGCUGCUAUGCAGAUUUCGACAAUGAUCCUUCCGCAGGUUCACCUAC
rnacentral:misc_RNA from 1 species